UGGCGAUGAUAGAAAUGGUAGCUCUAGUCCCAUCUAGUCGUUGUCCUGGAUCCGAGUGGUGAAGUUGCUAGUCUGGUUUCCUUCCUGUAGGGUCCUGUGCUCGGACCACCCUCUGUUCCUUCGUUUUUAGCAUGUUUUAAUUCAGUCUCUGUCGGAUGUACCUAGUGUCGUGCCUGUGGUUGUUUUAAGAAUCCUACCCAGAUCUCAAUAUAUAUGGUGUUGAAAGGAAGCAGAUCGGUCUUGAUGCGUGCUUGCUUGAUCCUGUCACUCUGAAAUGUUUCUCUGUUUCGGUCUGUUGCUGGAAUGUUGCUCUGUCCUGUGAUGCAACGUUUCUGAAUGCUUGCUGUGGAGCCCUACAGUCUUGAUGUUUUGCUGAAAUCUGAGUGAUCCCAUGACUUCUGUUUGUCUAUUUUCUGAAUAUAAG
rnacentral:lncRNA from 1 species